rnacentral:rRNA from 1 species
ACUCUAAGGAGACUGCCGGUGACAAACCGGAGGAAGUGGGGAUGACGUCAAAUCAUCAUGCCCCUUAUGACCUGGGCUACAAACGUGAUACAAUGGCUGGAACAAAGGGAUGCGAAGCAGUGAUGUGGAGCGAAACCCAUAAAAACAGUCUCAGUUCGGAUUGAAGUCUGCAACUCGACUUCAUGAAGUCGGAAUCGCUAGUAAUCGCGGAUCAGAACGCCGCGGUGAAUACGUUCUCGGGGUUU